UACGGAGGAUCCAAGCGUUAUCCGGAUUUAUUGGGUUUAAAGGGCGCGUAGGCGGCAAUUCAAGUCAUCUGUGAAAUCUCCGGGCUUAACCCGGAACGGUCAGGUGAUACUGUUUUGCUAGAGUGCGGAAGGGGCAAUCGGAAUUCUCGGUGUAGCGGUGAAAUGCGUAGAUAUCGAGAGGAACACCAGAGGUGAAGACGGGUUGCUGGGCCGACACUGACGCUGACAGCGCGAAAGCCAGGGGAGCAAACGGG
rnacentral:rRNA from 1 species